GGCUGGUCCAGAGGUAGUGAGUUACCUCAACUGGUUGUUCAGUCAAUUUACAGAUCAAACUCCUUGUUCUACUCUCCCUCCUCCUCACUACUGCACUUUAGUUUUUG
ensembl:misc_RNA Y_RNA Y RNA